AUACGUAGGUGGCAAGCGUUGUCCGGAUUUACUGGGUGUAAAGGGCGCGUAGGCGGGGAUGCAAGUCAGGUGUGAAAUCUAUGGGCUUAACCCAUAAACUGCACUUGAAACUGUAUUUCUUGAGUGUCGGAGAGGUAGAUGGAAUUCCUAGUGUAGCGGUGAAAUGCGUAGAUAUUAGGAGGAACACCAGUGGCGAAGGCGAUCUACUGGACGAUAACUGACGCUGAGGCGCGAAAGCGGUGGGGAGC
rnacentral:rRNA from 1 species